AGUGAACGCUGGCGGUAGGCCUAACACAUGCAAGUCGAACGGCAGCACAGUAAGAGCUUGCUCUUACGGGUGGCGAGUGGCGGACGGGUGAGGAAUACAUCGGAAUCUACUUUUUCGUGGGGGAUAACGUAGGGAAACUUACGCUAAUACCGCAUACGACCUACGGGUGAAAGCAGGGGAUCUUCGGACCUUGCGCGAUUGAAUGAGCCGAUGUCGGAUUAGCUAGUUGGCGGGGUAAAGGCCCACCAAGGCGACGAUCCGUAGCUGGUCUGAGAGGAUGGUCAGCCACCCUGGAACUGAGACACGGUCCAGACACCUGCGGUGGGCAGCAGUGGGGAAUAUUGGGCAAUGGGGGCAAGCCUGAUCCAGCCAUACCGCGUGAGUGAAGAAGGCCUUCGGGUUGUAAAGCCCUUUUGUUGGGAAAGAAAAGCAGCAGGUUAAUACCCCGCUGUUCUGACGGUACCCAAAGAAUAAGCACCGGCUAACUUCGUG
rnacentral:rRNA from 1 species